rnacentral:lncRNA from 1 species
GUGUUUUCUUCCGCAGAUGGGAGCUUGCCUACCUGUCUACCCAUCGGCCUGGACCCCAGAGCCUGCCCAGCUAAGUGCGUACAGAGGGCCCCGGUUUCGGGGCGACUCUCAGGCUGCCGCAGAGACCACCCUGGAAUCGCUGGCGAAGACAGGCCUUUCCUGCUGAGCCAGACCUUGUCUACACAGCCUGCUCAGGCGCUGUCCACGCCCCGAGGCCUGGGCUCAGGCCGAAGUUGCUCCACAGCACCCCCAGCUGACAGCCAGCAACUGGCAGAGCCCCCAGGCCCGGGGGCCCUCUCUCUCCCAGGUCAGCCGGGUGUGCGCACCGGAGGGGGCACCGAGGGAGCUGGGCUGGUGUGUGGAGUAGGCAGUGAGUGGUUGGGCUGUGGCCACCUUGACAAUUCAGAUCCCCUGUCUUGUUGCCCACAGAGAUCUCCAGUGUGACAGCCCAGGCGGCAGAGCCGAGGGUGAGU